CUCACAGAGAAGAAAAAUGGAUGAAAAACACCUAUUUAUUUAAACCUUUGAGCAGGUUACUAGGAUCGCCAGAAAAAUGGAGCUGUUGCUACUCUUUUGCUGGAAACAGAAGUGUUUUGAACCUCCACAAAGGUGUCUAACAGGCUGCUAAAGAAAAGAAAACUGAAGAGACAUCCUCCUUGGAAGUAAAGACCACCAUGUCAAUCAUCUUAGAAACAAGAAGAUAAUUUCUCUUUAAAGCAAAAUCAAAAUAACAACAAACACUUAUUUUUUACUCAUUCACAAGCCUAGAAAUAAUAAAUUACAUGAAAGAAACUGAACCAAAGUCCUCAGGAAAAAGCUCCACAAACUCAUAUCCACUGCCUUGUCAUAUUCAGCCUGUCUUUCAGGCUAUUAAGAAUUCUCUUCAGCCCUGGGCAUUGGUAGCAAAACUGCAGCAAUGAGGGUCAGGCAAUCUUGCCUGCUAGUCAGAGGCAUUAGCAAUUUGCUGGUUGCAGAAAAACUAAAAAUAAAAGGGGAGUAUUUAAUAAAGCAACAAAAGCAAGGCAACCUCAUUUCUGCCAGGCUGCCUUGGUAUAGGUAGAGUCUACGAAGUAUCAGAUAUGAAGAGCAUUUUAUACUUGUUCAAUGCUUCUCCACAAGAGCAACCAGGGAUAAAAAAGCAGGCACAAAGGUCAGUGGAAAAAACCCUGUAUUCUUCAGUUUACCUUUCCUGACUGAAAUAACUCGCUAUCAGAAUCAUUAGCAACCGCUAUUGGAUGGGCGCAGAGGAAAAUGUGAAUCAGAGGGUGGCUUUUCCAGGCAUGGAUGAGUUAUUUAAUUGAAACAAUGCCUUUGUCUUUUAUAAAUCAUUUUCCGUUCCACAUUCUGAUGAAACACUGAGUCAUUCAAAAAUUUGAAAAUAUUUAUGUUCAUUCUUUUUGCCACAUUUUGGGAAAUGGUGUCAUGACCCCCAACCCCUCAACUCCAGGUCUUUUGUAAGGUGUAAGCCAUCACUUAAUAUGGCUUUUCUUCUUUUGUCUAGAAUUACACACCGUAGCCAUUGGUAUCAUUAAUAGCUUUAGAGUUGUCAUGUUUUCAAUUUUUCAAAUUGAGCUGUAAAAGACUACGCUUGCAUAUUUAUUAAAGGCUAUUGGUAACAAG